GUAAGGAAUAUUGGACAAUGGACGCAAGUCUGAUCCAGCCAUGCCGCGUGAAGGAUUAAGGUCCUCUGGAUUGUAAACUUCUUUUAUAAGGGACGAAAAAAGGCUUUUCUAAGUCGUCUGACGGUACCUUAUGAAUAAGCACCGACUAACUCCGUGCCAGCAGCCGCGGUAAUACGGAGGGUGCAAGCGUUAUCCGGAUUCACUGGGUUUAAAGGGUGCGUAGGCGGGCAGGUAAGUCAGUGGUGAAAUCCUAGAGCUUAACUCUAGAACUGCCAUUGAUACUAUCUGUCUUGAAUAUUGUGGAGGUAAGCGGAAUAUGUCAUGUAGCGGUGAAAUGCUUAGAUAUGACAUAGAACACCUAUUGCGAAGGCAGCUUACUACGCAUAUAUUGACGCUGAGGCACGAAAGCGUGGGGAUCAAACAGGAUUAGAUACCCCAGUAGUCC
rnacentral:rRNA from 1 species